UGGGGAAUUUUGGACAAUGGGGGAAACCCUGAUCCAGCCAUCCCGCGUGUGCGAUGAAGGCCUUCGGGUUGUAAAGCACUUUUGGCAGGAAAGAAAACGUCGCGGGUUAAUACCCCGCGAAACUGACGGUACCUGCCAGAAUAAGCACCGGCUAACUACGUGCCAGCAGCCGCGGUAAUACGGUAGGGUGCAAGCGUUAAUCGGAAUUACUGGGCGUAAAGCGUGCGCAGGCGGUUCGGAAAGAAAGAUGUGAAAUCCCAGAGCUUAACUUUGGAACUGCAUUUUUAACUACCGGGCUAGAGUGUGUCAGAGGGAGGUGGAAUUCCGCGUGUAGCAGUGAAAUGCGUAGAUAUGCGGAGGAACACCGAUGGCGAAGGCAGCCUCCUGGGAUAACACUGACGCUCAUGCACGAAAAGCGUGGGGAGCAAACAGGAUUAGAUACCCUGGUAGUCCACGCCCUAAAACGAUGUCAACUAAGCUGUUGGGGGCCUUCGGGCCGUUGGUAGCGCAGCUAACGCGUGAAGUUGACCGCCUGGGGAGUACGGUCGCAAGAUUAAAAACUU
rnacentral:rRNA from 1 species